CAGAGGGUGCAAACGUUGCUCGGAAUCACUGGGCGUAAAGGGCGUGUAGGCGGGAAGGAAAGUCAGAUGUGAAAUCCCUGGGCUCAACCCAGGAACUGCAUUUGAAACUCCCUUUCUUGAGUGUCGGAGAGGAAAGUGGAAUUCCUGGUGUAGAGGUGAAAUUCGUAGAUAUCAGGAGGAACACCGGUGGCGAAGGCGGCUUUCUGGACGACAACUGACGCUGAGACGCGAAAGCGUGGGGAGCAAACAGGAUUAGAUACCCUGGUAGUCCACGCUGUAAACGAUGAACACUAGGUGUCGUGGGUACUGACCCCCGCGGUGCCGCAGCUAACGCAUUAAGUGUUCCGCCUGGGAAGUACGGUCGCAAGACUA
rnacentral:rRNA from 1 species